rnacentral:lncRNA from 1 species
UUCAGCAGUUCAAAUUGUAAACAGCUCGUCUAUUUCUGUUAGGAGGAACACAUUCAUCUUUUGUACCUCCGUUAAAGAGCACCCUUUCUUCUGUGCUUAUCUGCAAGAGGGUAAAUGUAAUCACAAGAAACUGCUAACACACAAACGUGGCAACUCAAUGAACUUUACUGGAACACAGAAGCAGAACAAGGAAAAAUUAAACAGCAAGAAACAGUGUCAGAAGCAGAAACAAAUAGGAGUGACACUGUUUGAAGAACUGCAAAAUUGAGCCAAGUGUCCAGGAACUAAAAGAAUCCACAAAGCCUAUCUCAGUUCCACGCUGCUUCACUUUGAAAGUAAGUCUACUGGUUACCAAUUAAGUUGUAAAAUGGAUUUAAUAGUCUAAAAAUAUUUUCAGUAUGCUCGACAGGCCUGAAAGUUAUCGGUUAUCUAAGUGAUAUUGCAGUCACCUUCUUACCAAGUUGGUAUUUCAUAGUGAA